AGAGUUUGAUUCUGGCUCAGGAUGAACGCUAGCGACAGGCUUAACACAUGCAAGUCGAGGGGCAGCAUAGAAGUAGCAAUACUUGGUGGCGACCGGCGCACGGGUGAGUAACGCGUAUGCAACCUACCUAUCAGAGGGGAAUAACCCGGCGAAAGUCGGACUAAUACCGCAUAAAACAGGGGCACCGCAUGGUGAUAUUUGUUAAAGAAAUUCGCUGAUAGAUGGGCAUGCGUUCCAUUAGGUAGUUGGUGAGGUAACGGCUCACCAAGCCGACGAUGGAUAGGGGAACUGAGAGGUUGGUCCCCCACACUGGUACUGAGACACGGACCAGACUCCUACGGGAGGCAGCAGUGAGGAAUAUUGGUCAAUGGGCGGGAGCCUGAACCAGCCAAGUCGCGUGAAGGAAGAAGGAUCUAUGGUUCGUAAACUUCUUUUGCAGGGGAAUAAAGUGCAGGACGUGUCCUGUUUUGUAUGUACCCUGAGAAUAAGGAUCGGCUAACUCCGUGCCAGCCGCCGC
rnacentral:rRNA from 1 species